rnacentral:misc_RNA from 1 species
GAUGAAGAACGUAGCGAAAUGCGAUACUUGGUGUGAAUUGCAGAAUCCCGUGAACCAUCGAGUCUUUGAACGCAAGUUGCGCCUCAAGCCAUUAGGUUGAGGGCACGUCUGCCUGGGCGUCACAUCUCGUUGCCUGAUGCCAGUUUCCUCGUGAUGGGUGACUGUGCAGGGCGAAUGAUGGCUUCCCGUGAGCAUUGUUGCCUCAUGGUUGGUUGAAAAUUGAGUCCUUGGUAGGGAGCGCCGUGAUAGAUGGUGGUUGAGUGACGAACGAGACCCAAUCAUGUGAGACCCCUACCGAAUUUGGCCUUCAUGACCCACAUGCGUCUUUGGAACGCUCAUGACGAGACCUCAGGUCAGGCGGGGCUACCCGCUGAGUUUAAGCAUAUCAAUAAGCGGAGGA